AGAAAAAGGUUUUCCAGCUUCUGAGCAGCCUGGAAGGAGUUUUCGUCGAGGGGUCCCAUGCCAGCUGCUUAAAAAACCCCAUCUGGCAGCGUCGGGGUCCCAGUGGCUGGUUUUAAUGUGCCAGGAGGAGGUGGCGGGUGCAUACCCAUGUCCCCACGGUGCCCCACCGCAGGUGUGGGGCGGCAGGUAGGUGCCCAUGGAUGGAGAGCGGGCGGGCGCGCGGGCGGGAGCGCUCGGUGCGUGGGGUAGCGGGGAUGGGGGGUGCUUGAUGCUGAGAUUCCCCAGGAGCGUGAGUGCUCUUGCGCUGCCCAGUGCCUGCCGUGGGCAGGGACAGGCAGGCAGGAGGCAGGGGAAAGUGCAGCUCCACCAGCAUCCCCUUCUGCCUGAUGUGGGAUUCUCAGCCCAGCUGGUGGUGGAGAGGUUGGCAGGGGUGUCCCAAGUGCCAGGGGUGUCCAGAGUGCGUGGCCACUCUGCCCGAAGAGGGAAGGAGGCGAGCGGACCAUGGCCAUGGAGUGCUGGCAGGGAAACCCCCUGGGCACGGAGUUGGCAAGGAGUGGCCAGAGUCGCCUCGAGGCCAGGGCGUCCCGAGCAAAGAGGUUCCCCAGAAUCUGUCCCUACAGCUCUGUUCUGGUUCUGGGAGAGGGGCUUGAUGGGGCUCGCCCAAAUUUUUGGAGGCAGGGAAGGGCCCUCCUGGGGCUGGGGAAGGAACUGCUUUCUGUUCUGUGUGCAUGUAGGAUGGAAAAAACGGGAAGCCAGAGGCAAGCUUGGGCGGGCAGGCUCGCAGCUCAGCAGGGGCCAUGGGCUGUUCAAUCAGCUCCUCUGGCCAGAUGUGCUGCUGCCACUUUUUGGAGGAAACAGGCUGGGGAGGGGAUGGGGCUCAAUCCUGGAGACCUGCAGGGUGUUGAAGCCACCCUACCCAGUACACUCACGCUGACUGAGAGCAUCCUGCAGCUGACUGAGAGCAUCCUUGGUCAGCCCAGCCUGUGCCACUGUCUCACUCUGUCCCUCUGGCCGUGGCACACAGCUGGCACUGCGGUCAUGCUCCCAGGCGCCGGCUUUUCCCCAGCUCCGUCGCUUGCUGGGUGAAUGGUUGCCCCGUCCUCAUCCCCUGGGGCUGCAGCAGCAGCUGCCGAACGUGGUCACCCUGUGGGAGCUGAGCUGAGCCUUGGCCCAGCCACGGGGCCAGUGGGGAGGGCACAGGGUGUGCAGCAGGCGAGGGCAGGGCUGCCAGCCCCAUGUGGCAUGAGAGGACAGACAACCUUGAGCUUAGGCCUUGCAAGGGCUCCCCGAGGCUCUCCCGGUCCUGCCUCCUCUCUGCCUAUCCCUUGUAGGACGCGGUGCUGCCAUUGCUGGGGUUAUGGCUGGCUCUGCACAGUCCCUCCGCUGCCAGAGUGCUGGCAGUGGCUGUCCCCUCCCAGCAGGUCACCUGGGGACACGGUGUUCAGCAGGCAUAUGGCAGUAAGCUGCCAUGUCCCUUCACCUCCUUCUUCUGCACGGCAGCUCCCACCACCGCAGGGACAACCACCAGCCGUCACUCAGGUCCAGCAUAAGGACAAGGGCUCCAGCCAGGGCACAAUAGCAUCCCUGGGCGUGCAAGCUUCUGUGUGGGCCGUGUGGCUCUCUGCAAAGGGACAGUGACAUGAACCAGGGCACUGUAACCACUCAGGGCAGCUGUGGCCACCGUGGUCCAGGUCUGUCCCUAUCCUGUUGUGCCUCAAGGGCUUCCCACUGUCUCUGGCUGGUCCCAGGGAAGUUGUGGCAUCUCGGCAUUGGGAUGCUGUACAUGGGGACAGCAAGACACCGGUGUGACAUGGCCUGUGUCCCCAUCCCAGCAGCAGUGUCCCUGGCAUAGGAUUAGCCUGCCUGCACCUGCCCCAGCCCCCUGGCUCCUGUGCACUGGCCAGGGUGCCCUGCCAAAGGACAACGCCAUCACCCCCCUGCUGCGGCCCACAGGAGAGGAGUUUAUUUCCAAAAAACACAGGCAAACGCCUCCGCCAAAGAUUUCCCAAGCAGUUAUCAGCAGGAAUUCAGGGAAGGCUGUGUCUAGACAGGCUGCAGCUCUGGGUGGCUGCUGGAUAGAGUGGCAUUUCCCUCCACGCUUGUCAAGAGGUAGUCUGGAGAUGAUUAGGGUUUUUUUUUUUGCCUUUGCUUUUCUCAGUCUCCUUCUCCAUCCUAGAGCCAGCAUUGCUCUCCAGCAGGCUUUUCUGAGGCUUGUUCCUCUGUAUCCCCAGUGAAACCUGUCGUUGCUUAUCCCCAAUAUCCCACUGCUCCUCCUCUCCCAGGGCUGAGCUGGGACAGCCAGUGCCCAGUGGUGCUGCCUGCGUGGCUGCUGGUGACCAGGGCUGCCGUGCGCUAUCGCAUCAGCCUGCGGCACGCUGCGCCUCCCGGCACCGAGGGCUCCUGCCAGCAGCGGGCAGGCGUGUGGGCAGCACACGGCACAGGCAGCCGGCAGGCAGGAGCACGGGCAGUGCGGGGGGCUGAGCGCUGAGCUGGGGACCCCAGCGGGCUCCCCGAGGCAGCCCCAGCACUCUAACCUGUGUGGGGCAGAAGUAGUGAGAGCUCAUCUUCAUGAGCAAGCCGGAGUGGAGCAGUGAGCGAUGAGGCAAGAGGCUGGAAAUUUGAGCUCUGGAGCUAUUUCACCAUCCUUUGACCUUGACUAGGAGCACACAGAGGAGGCAAGAUCCUGCACAGGGGAGGCUCCAGCUGCGGGGGGGAUGAAGCCCAACACACUUCCUCUGGCUACAGGCCGGUGGGUGCUGGUGGAGCACUUACUGCUCCUGAACCCCUAACACCUUUGCCUGCCCAGGACCAGGUACAUUCACAGGGCUCAUCUCAGCCCUGCCUCCUCACCUGGCUCUGGCUGCUCCUGGGGCAGUGGGGACAUGCUGCUCUGGGGAUGUCCCGGUGAGCUGGGGCUGUGUCUGCCCAGCAGCAGCACCCACCAGCUGGGCUCAGGGAGGUUGCAGGGGAGCAUGCCCCCCCCACCUCUUCCCCUGCGAGCCACCUAGGGGGCCCCUGGCCAGGAAUACCCUCGAGGUUACCUGUCCCUUCGGCUCAGGGCAGGGAAAGCAGAUGCAGGGCCAGGCUCACCUACCAUGGGCAUGGAGGCACAGGGCAGAGGCUGGAGUCAGACCUCACACAGAGCCAGGGACACAGCUGCCUGAGGGGACCGGGCUUUUCUGUUCCACACCCCAGUGGCACGAGCCUGGGCAGAGACAGGGGCCAAUGCAUGCCCUGGGCUGCCCCAGGGAUAGACAGGGACCCUUCCCGGCAGCGGCAGCCAGAUCCCCGCUGCACACUCAGCCCAUGUGGCUGGCAGAGCUGAGCGCGGACCAGACGUGGCUGUGGAAAGCCACGCCAGCAACAUCCUAGGGCUGGGACCAGCAGUGGCAUCGGGGCAGAGCUGGUCUCUGCAGAGCAGCGUGGCAGGAGCCCAUCGCAGGGCUGGGCUCCAGCACCUGGGCUGCGGCUGCUGCAAGCGAGCAUCCUCCCACUGCUGGGUGGAGGUGAGGGACAAAGCUGCUUUGUGCUGGUGGACAAGCUGGUGACAGUCACGCUGCCUCUGGGCAUGAGGAGGGGGCUUCUGAAGGGCUAGCAAGCCCCCUGUGCCUGCAUGAGGUGCACACUGUGCGGCUGCCAGCUGGGCAGGUGAGCAGAUGUGUAUGAGAGGGCUAAGUGAGAGGCGGCCAGCCUGCCAAGGCCCUGUUUGAUGUGGGACACUGAAGCAGGAGCUCUGAGCAUCAAUGUCUAUCCUGUCCCGCUGUUGCUGGAGCAGGGAAACAUGGAACCGUGCAGUGGUGGAGCACUGGAGAUGGUCAGCGUGCUGGUGGGGCUGCCCGGGGCACAGCCAGCUCUGCAGGGCACCAUCCUGCUCCGGGCAGUGCAGUAUGUCUGCCCCAGCAAUCUGCCCCUGCGAACCAGCUCCGAGGCUGUGCUGGGAUGGGGGUGUGACAGGUCUCUCAAGCCCCUUCCCCAGCAGCUACAGGGAGGUGGGAUGUGCUGGCAGGUCUGCGGGUGCCAGCUGGCAGAGUGCAGGCAGCCACGGGUUCAUCCUGAGACCGCUGGUAAAAAGCACAUCUCUCCAGCUCUGCAAGGACUGCCCUGUCCUGGUGGGCAGCAGAGGACCAGGAGGUGAAGAACGGCACCACCUGUCCUUGGGCUGAGCUCUGCUGGGAGCUGGAUGAGCAGCUUCCCUUGCCAAGGGACAGCAGCGGACAGGGGAUGGGGAUGUGGGGUCUGCCAUGCUGUGCAUGGGGCAGAUGCUCUGUGGUGGUCAACACAUCAAAGCGGUGCCCAUUGCGGGACCGACUCGCUGGUUGCUGGUACAAAGGGCAACGUCUCCUUCUUCCAGCCUGCCCUUCUUACCUGGGUUCCUUCACCACAGGUUUGCCCUUCUUUCUUUUACCUCUCCCUUUCCACCAUUACUUUCUAAAUUUCAUUUUUAUCAUUCCCCACCUGCAGCCCCCAUGAUCCUCACUGCACCCGAGCAGAGGAGCUGCACCACUCACCCCUGUGGGUGCUACAGGGAAACCACCCGCCUAUCAGCCCUGGUGUAACUUUUGUGCUUGAUUUUCUUCCACAUCUCAUCUCCUGCUUGCUGGGAGCUCAACCUGUUUAGGGCAUUUUUUUUAGCGUCUUUCCCUGCUCGGCUGGGUGGGCAGCAGGCAGGGCUGGGAAAGCUGGGGCCUGUGUGGGAGGUGAUUUACAAACUGGGCUCCUCUCAUGUCCAGGCGAUGCUGCACAUGCAGCCCCAUCCCCCUCCCCAUUGCUGGAGCAGAGAUAAGGUGAUAAAGCCUGGAUAAGCAGUUGAGAGCGCUGGCAGCUUCAUGAGCUCCAGCCACCCCAUGGCUGCUCCCUGCCCGCUCCGGCUCUUUGCUGGCCUCGUGUGAGCUCCUGUCCACCACGAUACGAGUGUCCCCUCCGCCAGCUCCUCCAGCCAGCUCUGGUUGGGAGCCGUGCACAGCAGGGCAAGGAGCAGAGCCCAGAGAGCAAGGAGGAUGCUGGAGCAGCUGCCCGGCACUGCUUGGGAACAGUGUUGGUGGAAAGUUCUCCCCGCGGUGCUCUGGGUUCCCACCAGCCCUCCCCAGCGAGGACUGGAAGCUGGUGACGUGAUGGCUUGUCCCCGCUGGGACUUCGCCCCUGCACCGCUUCCUCCAGACCGGGAAUGUGGCGUGUAAACAGAGCAGGAGGGCUGCUGCCGGCACCCGCUCCCACGCUCCGCAUGCCCCGGGGCCAGCAGUGGGGCCGGUGGCCACUAGUCCUUGCUGAUGGGGUCCCCGCACCCCAAAAAUCCCUGGGGAGGGGGCCUGGGGUUGCACUGCCCUGGAGAGGGGGAGGCAGCUCUGGGAAGAGGAAACCAGCCGAGGAUGGGGAGACGGUGGUUGACAGGCUUGGGGCAGCGGGGAAGAGCCGAGGCCGUGAGAAAGGCAGUGACCGGGCUGCCGUGUGCCUCGGCUCUUCCUCAGCCAUGCUUCUUCCAGCUGUGAACCCUUUCCCGCCACUCCUGCCCCUCCAGAGGCUCUUUCUCACCCCUCAGCCAGGCUUUGGCAUCGCUGGAGGGUUUCAGCCCCUCGCCAUAGCAGCCAGUACUGGUGGCUUUGCAGGAACGCAUGGGUCCUGCAUGGUGACACAGGACUGGGCAUGGUGGUGGCCAAGCGGGAACAGCAGAGUUUGUCCCCUUUCCCAGGGUGACAAAUGGGGAGAUGUCAUCUUAUGCUUGCAGGGCAGAGGUGGCAGAGGCCUCACCUGUCCCUGGGCUCCCUCCUGCCAUCUCCUCCAUGUCACCAACCUGCAAUACAAAUGGGGUGUGGAGGAGCCCGGCUCUACACAGAGACACCAAAUUAGGCAAUUUCUCCUUCCCUCUGGCACCAGAGAGGAGGCGCCUGCCUGGGAGGAAGGAGCACAAACCAGAUGCGCUCUCCCCUCUGCACCCGUCCCCUGCUCUCAGCCCCCCAAACCUGCUCCUUUGUUCUUGGCAUUAUAAUUUAUCCCAGCAAAACCCAGAGAGAAAAAGCAGCAUCCCCCUGGGCCCCCUUGGCUCGCCCCCAGCAUGGGAGAUGGGGGCCGCUCGGUCUCCAAAUCUGCCUUUUUGACCAUAAAAGGGCAGGCACGCCGCAGCCCCGGCAGGAGGAUGGGAAAGGGAAGGCAGAGCUAUUUAUAGCCGAGCAUCAGGACCUCAGCCUGAACUCGGGGUUAAUCAGCCUGUGACCAGAUUAGGAUCUCCCUUGGCCCCACCAUUUUCUCAUAAACCUUUGAUUUAAUACCAGUGUUGGCGAGGGAGGGAGGAAGGGCGAGAGGAGGCACCUCUCCUCUGCAGAGGCCACUGUGGUCCAUGGGGGACAGGAUGGCGAUGCUGGGGGAUGGGAUGGAGGUGCUGGGGGAGCUGGAAGGCCCCGCUGGGAAGGCGCGUUGGAGCUGUCCUGCCACCAGCUUGUGCUCCAAGGCAAGAGCGAGCAGCAUCCCUGUGUGAUUGCUGCCUGCGAGGGACACCCAACAGGCAGGAGAACCUGCGCUGGGGUCAGUCCCUGAAAUUUCUAUAGAGUUGAGUGAGUCUGCCCAGCAAAAGCACGUUCCCCUCCAUCGUGCCAGCCCUCACCACCCAGGAGGGGGCACCUGGGGGUGGUCUUUGGGCAGGAUUUACCUUGCUCAGUGUCACCCAGCAAUGAGUCCCUCAGGCAGCGGGAGGCGACAUCAGGGCUGCUUGGGUAGCUGAUGACCAGAGCUGGAUCAAAGCUCAGCUUGGGGAGGGUUGGAGCCCCGGUGGCUGGUGAAGAUGAGAUUUUGGGGGCCAGGAGGAGAGGAAAAGGUACCCACAUAGCACUGAGCAUCACCCAGCAGCCUGAAGCCACUCUCGGCGGAGUCGGGGAGUUCAGGCUUCCCUCAAAAGCCCAGUUCUGUCCUUGUGGCUGGCUGCGUGGGGCUGGGGAAUUUCAAGGAGGAAACAAAUCCCAAAUGCUAUUAAAAAAGGACAUUUCCUGCAGCGGCGGCCGGCCUGGAGAGGGGAAAGGGCGCUGUGUUGUAACCGCGGGGAGGGCCGAGCUCUGACUCAGCCCCGCACCGCCGGGGAGGCAGCUCGGCCACGGCUCCCAUCUCCGGGCACCCACGGGCGGCAGGGCGGGCGAGCGGGGCAGCGGCUCGGUAAAGGCAAAGGCUGGAGGCUCAGCUGUGGGAGUCCAUGGGGACAUGGAGGCUGCCAAAGGCACACGGUGACUGUGCAACCCCAGGAACAUGGCCAGCGGCGAGGGACAGGCAGAGCCGGCAUGCCAGCCGUGCUGCCCACACGGACACCGCUGCCUGCGCUUUCCCUGGGCACAGGCAGCUGCAUUCUGUGGGCCUGUCCCUGUCCCACUGUCCAGCCACACAGGAGGGGGAUGGCUCCCAGGGCCGCUCCCGUGCAGGCGGCAGCGCCUCAUCGCUCCUCACCAACAGCACUGCCACCCCGUUCUGGGGGUGCACAGGGGGCCGGGGGCUGCCCAGUGGGGCUGGCAGUGGGGCAGGGGCCCUGCACAGGUGUGGGGUGGCACGAGGGUCCCUGCGGCACCUCCCCUGGCUCUGGGUCUCUGUGGCUGUUCCCACACUUUGCUGGGGCUGGUUUGGAGAUCACCCGACAGCAGACAAGGCUACUCCCAAACCUCGCUCCCGACUGAUGGAUGCUGCAAGCUCAGGGCACCACGGGGUUCUUUUCCCUGCUCUUUCCUCCCAAGAACCAGGGGCAGAAGAUGUGGGAGCUCAGCACAUUACAUGGGGGGGUUUCUGCCCCAGUUCCCAGCUGGGUGCACCCGGCGGGGGGGCUGGUGCCGGAUGCAGGAGCUCACUCCGGAGAUGCACCAUCUGCUUCUUGUCAGGCUGCUGGGAGCAUCGUGGCUGCCGGGGCCCGGCAGCAGGACGCGGUUGUGAUAGAUGGUCUGUUUAUCACGUUUCGGCUCUGCUCAGGAUGUUAGUGUUUGCCUGCAAAAGACAUUUUUGGACUCAGCUGCUCCCUCCACCCUCCCUCUCCUCCUGCUUCCCCCCAGGUCCCUGCCCUUGGGUUUGGAUGGGCUGAAGCCUGUCCGGACCCGAGGGUGAAGGUCCAGAGAGCAUCCCUGUCACAGGCCCUGGUCCUUGCCCAUGGGAAGGGCUGAGCUCAGCCCUGCCACCGCGAGAACUGAUCGGGCUGAUGUCCGAGCUUGGGAAGCUGAGGCUGAAGCCUUCCCACAGGUGCUAGCCAGCUGCGGGCUCUCCUCUGAGGGGGACAGGGACAAGAGUGGGGAGGGACAGCAGGAGCUUUCACAUGCUCUUCAUCCCCUGGGGCAGGGAAGGGGCAGAGGGCAGGGAGGGAUGUGCUGGGUGAUACCCACAGGCCCACACCACCCUGGCGUGUCCUGGCCCUGCUGGGGGGCAGCGCUGGGCCCUGGGGGGACUCCUGUCACCCUCACCCUCUCAUCCAGCCUUGUACUGGCUCUUGAGGAGGAGUACAUGGAUUUGGAUGCAGAACCUUCUCCCAUCUGUCCCUGUCUCUGUUCCUGCAGAGACAGGGGCCAGGCUGAGCUACCGAGCCCAGGUCCGUCCUGCCAUCGUGGUGGGGUGGGCAUGAGGGAUGCAGGCGCAUGGCCCUGGAGUGGGGAGAGCUCUUUGCCUGCACCCAGUGGGGCAGACAGACACACAGCCUUGCCACAGCACGACCCACAGACACCAGCCAGACACCAGACUGCGGACUCGUCCAUGUCUCCUAGCCCAAGGUGCAGUGCUGCAUCUCUGGUCAAUUGGGAGUCUGAGAUGAAGCACUGUAGCUCGGGAAGGGAGGAACUGCACACCCUGGGGACCUCCGAGACCCCCACCCGCUGGAACGAGUGACACAAGGAGAGCUGAGCCCUGGCUACGGGAAAGGGCUCAGCUCAAAGCUCCCGAUCCCUGCAGAGAGCAAGGCGGGAGAGGAGGGUGGGGCGGUUUCUCCUUGAAGCAGAGGGAACCCCAUGUUCACUCGGGACUCCCAGCCCAGUGCUGGGCACCAGCAGGAGGGGCUGCACAGAAACGUGGGAGCCUUGUGCAGCGGGGGGACAGCAGGGACGUGGCAGUGGCAGCACCAUCAGCCACACGCGGAGCCUGGCCAGUGGCGAGGACGUGCAGGGCUGGCAGAGAGCCCAGGUCGCCGUGCCCUCAGGGUCCAGUUUUCCCAGGAAUCCCUUAGGCGCUACGUUGGGGAUUCCUGGAAAUACUGUUCUUGAGGCCACGGCUUGGCGGCUGGAGAUGGUCCAUCCCAUGGGGAGCCGCAGCCUGUGGAUGAGCCGGUAACCGAGGUAAGGGGCCUCGGGGCGGGGGGGCUGCAAGUGGGAGCCUCCUGGCUACCCCAAACACAGAGAGGUGGGUAGCCCAGCCCAGCCAGACACAGGUGCCCCACACCAGGGGCUGACAGAUGUCCCCAUGGGUCACUGCUCACUGAAAGAGGAUGUGGCUGGUGUGCAGAUGUCCUUGCACAUGUCACCGAGCCACCCCGGGGUCAAUAAAGGUCUCGACUCCUGA